CCUACGGGUGGCAGCAGUGGGGGAUAUUGCACAAUGGGGGAAACCCUGAUGCAGCAACGCCGCGUGAGUGACGAAGGUCUUCGGAUUGUAAAACUCUGUUCUUGGUGAAGAUAAUGACGGUAGCCAAGGAGAAAGCUCCGGAUAACUACGUGCCAGCAGCCGCGGUAAUACGUAGGGAGCGAGCGUUGUCCGGAAUUACUGGGUGUAAAGGGUGCGUAGGCGGCCUUGCAAGUCAGGCGUGAAAACCAUGGGCUCAACCCGUGGACUGCGGUGGAAACUGUGUGGCUUGAGUGAGGUAGAGGUAGGCGGAAGUCGCGGUGUAGCGGUGAAAGGCGUAGAGAUCGGGAGGAACACCAGUGGCGAAGGCGGCCUACUGCGCUUUAACUGACGCUGAGGCUCGAAGGCAUGGGUAGCAAACAGGAUUAGAUACCCUGGUAGUC
rnacentral:rRNA from 1 species